rnacentral:rRNA from 1 species
UACGUAGGGUGCAAGCGUUGUCCGGAAUUAUUGGGCGUAAAGAGCUCGUAGGCGGUUUGUUGCGUCGGCUGUGAAAUCCCGAGGCUCAACCUCGGGUCUGCAGUCGAUACGAGCAAACUAGAGUGUUGCAGGGGAGACUGGAAUUCCUGGUGUAGCGGUGAAAUGCGCAGAUAUCAAGAGGAACACCUGCGGCGAAGGCGGGUUGCUGGGCCGACACUGACGCUGAGGCGCGAAAGCCAGGGGAGCGAACGGG